rnacentral:rRNA from 1 species
GACGCUGAAGCUGGGUGCUUGCACCUGGUGGAUGAGUGGCGAACGGGUGAGUAAUACGUGAGUGACCUUCCUUGGACUCUGGGAUAAGCCCGGGAAACUGGGUCUAAUACCGGAUACGACCAGUCCUCGCAUGGGGUGCUGGUGGAAAGGGUUUGUACUGGUUCUUGAUGGGCUCACGUCCUAUCAGCUUGUUGGUGAGGUAAUGGCUUACCAAGGCGACGACGGGUAGCCGGCCUGAGAGGGUGACCGGCCACACUGGGACUGAGACACGGCCCAGACUCCUACGGGAGGCAGCAGUGGGGAAUAUUGCACAAUGGGCGCAAGCCUGAUGCAGCGACGCCGCGUGGGGGAUGACGGCCUUCGGGUUGUAAACCUCUUUCAGCAGGGAAGAAGCGAAAGUGACGGUACCUGCAGAAGAAGCGCCGGCUAACUACGUGCCAGCAGCCGCGGUAAUACGUAGGGCGCAAGCGUUGUCCGGAAUUAUUGGGCGUAAAGAGCUCGUAGGCGGUUUGUCGCGUCUGCUGUGAAAGCCCGGGGCUCAACCCCGGGUGUGCAGUGGGUACGGGCAGGCUGGAGUGCAGUAGGGGAGACUGGAAUUCCUGGUGUAGCGGUGAAAUGCGC